rnacentral:rRNA from 1 species
GACGAACGCUGGCGGCGUGCUUAACACAUGCAAGUCGAACGGAAAGGCCCCUUUGGGGGUACUCGAGUGGCGAACGGGUGAGUAACACGUGAGUAACCUGCCCUUGCCUUCGGGAUAACUUCAGGAAACUGGGGCUAAUACCGGAUAGGCAUCCUUGCUGCAUGGUGGGGGUUGGAAAGCUUCGGCGGUUUUGGAUGGACUCGCGGCUUAUCAGCUUGUUGGUGGGGUAGUGGCUUACCAAGGCUUUGACGGGUAGCCGGCCUGAGAGGGCGACCGGCCACAUUGGGACUGAGAUACGGCCCAGACUCCUACGGGAGGCAGCAGUGGGGAAUAUUGCACAAUGGGCGGAAGCCUGAUGCAGCAACGCCGCGUGCGGGAUGACGGCCUUCGGGUUGUAAACCGCUUUCAGCAGGGGCGAAGCUUGUGGUGACGGUACCUGCAGAAGAAGCACCGGCUAACUACGUG